CAAAUCAGCUGUAGAGAACAGCAAUUCCUGGCUCCAUAGAGCUAAUGAGGAGGAGGGAGGAGGAAAAAAGAGUCUUUCCACCCAUGUCCAGCACUGCAGAAUCAUCUGGUAUUCUACUAGCAGCAGUGAUAAGAUCUCUACGCUAGUGGAAGACGUUAGACUUUUGUAUGAAUAUCAUCAUGAGUUACACUGGCAAGAAUAAAAAAUUACAAGAUGAAAUGUUACCUUGGUCAGCUUCUUGACUAUGGAUCAAAGAAUGGAAGAGAUCAGCAUUUCCUAUGACCCUCAAAAAGUUCAGUAAAGGCGGUCAGGGACACUGGAAAGUACCAAGAUUUUAUUCCAUUGUAAAGCACAGAAAAUCUCAUUCUAACACACUAAUACCCUGUGAGGCCAAGUAUUCUGUGUCAGCCUCUGAAAACACACACACUAACUAAUUAUUUGGGCUUAUAAGUGUUAGCAUUCAUUUUUUUUU